UACGAAGGGGGCUAGCGUUGCUCGGAAUCACUGGGCGUAAAGGGUGCGUAGGCGGGUCUUUGAGUCAGGGGUGAAAUCCUGGAGCUCAACUCCAGAACUGCCUUUGAUACUGAAGAUCUUGAGUCCGGGAGAGGUGAGUGGAACUGCGAGUGUAGAGGUGAAAUUCGUAGAUAUUCGCAAGAACACCAGUGGCGAAGGCGGCUCACUGGCCCGGUACUGACGCUGAGGCACGAAAGCGUGGGGAGCAAACAGG
rnacentral:rRNA from 1 species